rnacentral:rRNA from 1 species
GAUGAACGCUGGCGGCGUGCCUAAUACAUGCCAGUCGAGCGAACAGACGAGGAGCUUGCUCCUCUGACGUUAGCGGCGGACGGGUGAGUAACACGUGGAUAACCUACCUAUAAGACUGGGAUAACUUCGGGAAACCGGAGCUAAUACCGGAUAAUAUAUUGAACCGCAUGGUUCAAUAGUGAAAGACGGUUUUGCUGUCACUUAUAGAUGGAUCCGCGCCGCAUUAGCUAGUUGGUAAGGUAACGGCUUACCAAGGCAACGAUGCGUAGCCGACCUGAGAGGGUGAUCGGCCACACUGGAACUGAGACACGGUCCAGACUCCUACGGGAGGCAGCAGUAGGGAAUCUUCCGCAAUGGGCGAAAGCCUGACGGAGCAACGCCGCGUGAGUGAUGAAGGUCUUCGGAUCGUAAAACUCUGUUAUUAGGGAAGAACAAAUGUGUAAGUAACUAUGCACGUCUUGACGGUACCUAAUCAGAAAGCCACGGCUAACUACGUC